rnacentral:lncRNA from 1 species
UAAUCUGAAGACUGCUGCUGGAGGGGCCCCUGAAGGAGACACCAGCUUGGUUUUCGAGCAGCGGCUCUCUAAGGUGUGGAAGAAGGAAAAGCUUCCAGUUACACCCAGAAAGUGUUAAGUCUCGCCCGCAGAGUGAAGGAGGCCCUCCUGCAGACGCCCACCAGAGAACCAGACCCAGCGCGCAGUCCCGUUGGUCAGUGGGAGCUUGGUGUCCCUGAGGCAGUGUGGAAAGCUGGAUUCCUAGUGGCGGCAGCGCAGUGGGGCAGGAAGAUCAAAGGCCACUGUGCAGCCCAAACGCGUCUCUGCAGAACUCUGGCUGAUUUGGUGUUCAAAACAGUGAUUGGGUGGUUGUGAGCUAGCUUAACC